rnacentral:rRNA from 1 species
AGAGUUUGAUCCUGGCUCAGGACGAACGCUGGCGGCGUGCUUAACACAUGCAAGUCGAACGAGAUCCAUGGUGUAGCAAUACACCGGAAGAUCUAGUGGCGAACGGGUGAGGAACACGUGAGAAACCUGCCCCAGACUUUGGGAUAACAAGUGGAAACGCUUGCUAAUACCGAAUGACGUCGGAGAACCGCAUGGUUCACUGACGAAAGGAAUUCCGGUUUGGGAGGGUCUCGCGGCCUAUCAGCUUGUUGGUGGGGUAAUGGCCUACCAAGGCAACGACGGGUAGCUGGUCUGAGAGGAUGAUCAGCCACACUGGGACUGAGACACGGCCCAGACUCCUACGGGAGGCAGCAGUGGGGAAUCUUGCGCAAUGGGCGAAAGCCUGACGCAGCAACGCCGCGUGCGGGAUGAAGGCCUUCGGGCUGUAAACCGCUUUCAGCAGGAACGAAAAUGACGGUACCUGCAGAAGAAGGAGCGGCCAACUACGUGCCAGCAGCCGCGGUGACACGUAGGCUCCAAGCGUUGUCCGGAUUUAUUGGGCGUAAAGAGCUCGUAGGCGGUUGAGUAAGUCGGGUGUGAAAACUCUGGGCUUAACCCGGAGACACCAUCCGAUACUGCUCUGACUUGAGUUCAGGAGGGGAGUGGGGAAUUCCUAGCGUAGCGGUGAAAUGCGCAGAUAUUAGGAGGAACACCGGUGGCGAAGGCGCCACUCU